GAUGAACGCUGGCGGCGUGCCUAAUACAUGCAAGUCGAGCGAACAGACGAGGAUCUUGCUCCUCUGACGUUAGCGGCGGACGGGUGAGUAACACGUGGAUAACCUACCUAUAAUACUGGGAUAACUUCGGGAAACCGGAGCUAAUACCGGAUAAUAUAUUGAACCGCAUGGUUCAAUAGUGAAAGACGGUUUUGCUGUCACUUAUAGAUGGAUCCGCGCCGCAUUAGCUAGUUGGUAAGGUAACGGCUUACCAAGGCAACGAUGCGUAGCCGACCUGAGAGGGUGAUCGGCCACACUGGAACUGAGACACGGUCCAGACUCCUACGGGAGGCAGCAGUAGGGAAUCUUCCGCAAUGGGCGAAAGCCUGACGGAGCAACGCCGCGUGGGUGAUGAAGGUCUUCGGAUCGUAAAACUGUGUUAUUAGGGAAGAACAAAUGUGUAAGUAACUAUGCACGUCUUGACGGUACCUGAUCAGAAAGCCACGGCUAACUACGUG
rnacentral:rRNA from 1 species